AUUGAACGCUGGCGGCAGGCUUAACACAUGCAAGUCGAACGAGUGGCGGACGGGUGAGUAAUGCUUGGGAAUCUAGCUUCUGGAGGGGGAUAACUACGGGAAACUGUAGCUAAUACCGCAUACCAUAGGUUGAGCCCAAGUGGGAUUAGGUAGUUGGUGAGGUAAAGGCUCACCAAGCCGACGAUCUCUAGCUGGUCUGAGAGGAUGACCAGCCAGACUGGGACUUAGACACGGCCCAGACUCCUACGGUAGGAAGAAGUGGGGAAUAUUGCGCAAGUGGGGCAGCCUAAUGCAGCCAUGCCGCGGGAAUGAAGAGGGCCUUCGGGUUGUAAAUUUCUUUCGGUAUCCAGGCGUUAACUAAAGAAGAAGCACCGGCUAACUCCGUGCCAGCAGACGCGGUAAUAC
rnacentral:rRNA from 1 species